GGGUUGUGAGGUUAAGCGACUAAGCGUACACGGUGGAUGCCCUGGCAGUCAGAGGCGAUGAAGGACGUGCUAAUCUGCGAAAAGCGUCGGUAAGGUGAUAUGAACCGUUAUAGCCGGCGAUGUCCGAAUGGGGAAACCCAGUGCAAUUCGUUGCACUAUCGUUUGAUGAAUACAUAGUCAAACGAGGCGAACCGGGGGAACUGAAACAUCUAAGUACCCCGAGGAAAAGAAAUCAACCGAGAUUCCCCCAGUAGCGGCGAGCGAACGGGGAGCAGCCCGGAGUCUGAAUCAGCUUGUGUGUUAGUGGAAGCGUCUGGAAAGUCGCAGGGUACAGGGUGAUACUCCCGUACACUAAAACACACAGGUUGUGAACUCGAAGAGUAGGGCGGGACACGUGGUAUCCUGUCUGAAUAUGGGGGGACCAUCCUCCAAGGCUAAAUACUCCUGACUGACCGAUAGUGAACCAGUACCGUGAGGGAAAGGCGAAAAGAACCCCGGCGAGGGGAGUGAAAAAGAACCUGAAACCGUGUACGUACAAGCAGUAGGAGCCUCUUUAUGGGGUGACUGCGUACCUUUUGUAUAAUGGGUCAGCGACUUAUAUUCUGUAGCAAGGUUAACCGUAUAGGGGAGCCGCAGGGAAACCGAGUCUUAACUGGGCGUUAAGUUGCAGGGUAUAGACCCGAAACCCGGUGAUCUAGCCAUGGGCAGGUUGAAGGUUGGGUAACACUAACUGGAGGACCGAACCGACUAAUGUUGAAAAAUUAGCGGAUGACUUGUGGCUGGGGGUGAAAGGCCAAUCAAACCGGGAGAUAGCUGGUUCUCCCCGAAAGCUAUUUAGGUAGCGCCUCGUGAAUUCAUCUUCGGGGGUAGAGCACUGUUUCGGCUAGGGGGUCAUCCCGACUUACCAACCCGAUGCAAACUACGAAUACCGAAGAAUGUUAUCACGGGAGACACACGGCGGGUGCUAACGUCCGUCGUGAAGAGGGAAACAACCCAGACCGCCAGCUAAGGUCCCAAAGUCAUGGUUAAGUGGGAAACGAUGUGGGAAGGCCCAGACAGCCAGGAUGUUGGCUUAGAAGCAGCCAUCAUUUAAAGAAAGCGUAAUAGCUCACUGGUCGAGUCGGCCUGCGCGGAAGAUGUAACGGGGCUAAACCAUGCACCGAAGCUGCGGCAGCGACACUAUGUGUUGUUGGGUAGGGGAGCGUUCUGUAAGCCGUUGAAGGUGGCCUGUGAGGGUUGCUGGAGGUAUCAGAAGUGCGAAUGCUGACAUAAGUAACGAUAAUGCGGGUGAAAAACCCGCACGCCGGAAGACCAAGGGUUCCUGUCCAACGUUAAUCGGGGCAGGGUGAGUCGACCCCUAAGGCGAGGCCGAAAGGCGUAGUCGAUGGGAAACAGGUUAAUAUUCCUGUACUCGGUGUUACUGCGAAGGGGGGACGGAGAAGGCUAUGUUGGCCGGGCGACGGUUGUCCCGGUUUAAGCAUGUAGGCGGAUGUUCCAGGUAAAUCCGGAACGUUACUAACGCUGAGGUGUGAUGACGAGGCACUACGGUGCUGAAGUGACAAAUGCCCUGCUUCCAGGAAAAGCCUCUAAGCAUCAGGUAACAUCAAAUCGUACCCCAAACCGACACAGGUGGUCAGGUAGAGAAUACCAAGGCGCUUGAGAGAACUCGGGUGAAGGAACUAGGCAAAAUGGUGCCGUAACUUCGGGAGAAGGCACGCUGAUAUGUAGGUGAAGUGGUUUACCCAUGGAGCUGAAAUCAGUCGAAGAUACCAGCUGGCUGCAACUGUUUAUUAAAAACACAGCACUGUGCAAACACGAAAGUGGACGUAUACGGUGUGACGCCUGCCCGGUGCCGGAAGGUUAAUUGAUGGGGUUAUCCGUAAGGAGAAGCUCUUGAUCGAAGCCCCGGUAAACGGCGGCCGUAACUAUAACGGUCCUAAGGUAGCGAAAUUCCUUGUCGGGUAAGUUCCGACCUGCACGAAUGGCGUAAUGAUGGCCAGGCUGUCUCCACCCGAGACUCAGUGAAAUUGAACUCGCUGUGAAGAUGCAGUGUACCCGCGGCAAGACGGAAAGACCCCGUGAACCUUUACUAUAGCUUGACACUGAACACUGGUCCUUGAUGUGUAGGAUAGGUGGGAGGCUUUGAAGUGUGGACGCCAGUCUGCAUGGAGCCAUCCUUGAAAUACCACCCUUUAAUGGCUGGUGUUCUAACGUGGGCCCCUAAUCGGGGUUGCGGACAGUGUCUGGUGGGUAGUUUGACUGGGGCGGUCUCCUCCUAAAGAGUAACGGAGGAGCACGAAGGUCAGCUAAUCCUGGUCGGACAUCAGGAGGUUAGUGCAAUGGCAUAAGCUGGCUUGACUGCGAGCGUGACGGCGCGAGCAGGUGCGAAAGCAGGUCAUAGUGAUCCGGUGGUUCUGAAUGGAAGGGCCAUCGCUCAACGGAUAAAAGGUACUCCGGGGAUAACAGGCUGAUACCGCCCAAGAGUUCAUAUCGACGGCGGUGUUUGGCACCUCGAUGUCGGCUCAUCACAUCCUGGGGCUGAAGUAGGUCCCAAGGGUAUGGCUGUUCGCCAUUUAAAGUGGUACGCGAGCUGGGUUUAGAACGUCGUGAGACAGUUCGGUCCCUAUCUGCCGUGGGCGCUGGAGAAUUGAGGGGGGCUGCUCCUAGUACGAGAGGACCGGAGUGGACGCAUCACUGGUGUUCGGGUUGUCAUGCCAAUGGCAUUGCCCGGUAGCUAAAUGCGGAAGAGAUAAGUGCUGAAAGCAUCUAAGCACGAAACUUGCCCCGAGAUGAGUUCUCCCUGACUCCUUGAGAGUCCUGAAGGAACGUUGAAGACGACGACGUUGAUAGGCCGGGUGUGUAAGCGCAGCGAUGCGUUGAGCUAACCGGUACUAAUGAACCGUGAGGCUUAACCUUACAACGCCGAAG
rnacentral:rRNA from 1 species